UACGUAGGGGGCUAGCGUUGUCCGGAUUUAUUGGGCGUAAAGAGCGUGUAGGCGGCCAGGUAGGUCUGGUGUGAAAACUCGAGGCUUAACCUCGAGAUGUCAUCGGAAACCAUCUGGCUAGAGUCCGGAAGAGGAGAGUGGAAUUCCUGGUGUAGCGGUGAAAUGCGCAGAUAUCAGGAGGAACACCAGCGGCGAAGGCGCUGCUCUGGGCCGGUACUGACGCUGAGGAGCGAAAGCGUGGGGAGCGAACAGG
rnacentral:rRNA from 1 species